rnacentral:rRNA from 1 species
AAACCAACCGGGAUUGCCUCAGUAACGGCGAGUGAAGCGGCAAGAGCUCAAAUUUGGAACCGCGAAAUUUUUUGCGGGUUGUAAUUUGAAGGGUGGUGCUGGGACGGGACGCUGCCUAUGUUCCUUGGAACAGGACGUCACAGAGGGUGAGAAUCCCGUGUGGCGGCGGACCCCGACCGUGCGGUGCCAGCCGACGAGUCGAGUUGUUUGGGAAUGCAGCUCUAAGUGGGUGGUAAAUUCCAUCUAAAGCUAAAUAUUGGCGAGAGACCGAUAGCGAACAAGUACAGUGAUGGAAAGAUGAAAAGAACUCUGAAGAGAGAGUGAAACAGUACGUGAAAUUGUUGAAAGGGAAGGGCAUGGGGAUAGACUGAGCAAUCGGGAAGGAAGCGCUGUUGGAGCGGGACAAUUGCGCGGGAACGUGGCUUUCGAGUGUUAUAGCCUGCGCAGAUGCCGGACUGGCGGCGGUUGCUUCCAUAAUGUCNCUAUGCCGC